rnacentral:rRNA from 1 species
CUUGCAAAUUCCCAGUAUAAGAGGUCCCGCCUGCCCAGUGACAAUAUAGUUCAACGGCCGCGGUAUUUUGACCGUGCUAAGGUAGCGUAAUCACUUGUCUUUUAAAUGAAGACCCGUAUGAAUGGCAUAACGAGGGCUUAACUGUCUCCUUCCCCUGGUCAAUGAAAUUGAUCUCCCCGUGCAGAAGCGGGGAUAAGUACAUAAGACGAGAAGACCCUAUGGAGCUUUAGAUACUAAGGCAGACCAUGUUAAAUGUACCCUCCCACGGACCUACAAACCAAAUGAAAUCUGUCUUAAUGUCUUCGGUUGGGGCGACCAUGGGGAACACAAAACCCCCACGUGGAAAAGGAGGACACCCCAGUAUUCCCACCCUCCUACAAAUCAGAGCAACAGCUCAAAUUAGCAGAAAUUCUGACCAUACUGAUCCGGCAACGCCGAUCAACGAACCAAGUUACCCUAGGGAUAACAGCGCAAUCCCCUUUUAGAGCCCAUAUCGACAAGGGGGUUUACGACCUCGAUGUUGGAUCAGGACAUCCUAAUGGUGCAGCCGCUAUUAAGGGUUCGUUUGUUCAACGAUUAAAGUCCU